GUGGGGAAUCUUGGACAAUGGGGGAAACCCUGAUCCAGCGACGCCGCGUGGGUGAUGAAGGCCUUCGGGUCGUAAAGCCCUGUCGGGGGGGAAGAACCUCCCGCCGGUAAACAACCGGCGGGACUGACGGUACCCCCUAAGGAAGCACCGGCUAACUCCGUGCCAGCAGCCGCGGUAAGACGGAGGGUGCAAGCGUUGUUCGGAAUUACUGGGCGUAAAGGGCGCGUAGGCGGUCUGCUAAGUUCGGCGUGAAAGCCCCCGGCUCACCCGGGGAACGGCGCCGGAAACUGGUAGACUCGAGUACCGGAGAGGAGGGUGGAAUUCCUGGUGUAGCGGUGAAAUGCGUAGAUAUCAGGAGGAACACCGGUGGCGAAGGCGGCCCUCUGGACGGAUACUGACGCUGAGGCGCGAAAGCGUGGGGAUCAAACAGGAUUAGAAACCCUAGUAGUCC
rnacentral:rRNA from 1 species